AAAAAAAUAAAUUAGGCUUUUAAUCUUAACCAUUUAAAUUAAUAAUCAGAAUCAAUCUUAGCCGUUUAAACUCUUUAACAGGUCUCUCUAUAAUUUACAACUGGCAUGUAUUCUCACGCACACAUCUAAAGCUCUCCGGCCGUUCCCCAAAACAAGUUUAUCUCAAUUUAUCCUGGUUUCUAUUUGCGCCACCACCACCAUAUAGGUCGCCAAUUCGCCAUCACCGCCCAUAGGCCAUAGUCUCUAUUUAUCUCCAAUUCAGUUGUAGAAUAAAAAAGGAGAGACAUGUGUAGCCUGAACAAUCAGACCCAAGGUGUAAACAUGGGAUUAGAGAUCAAAUUUUUGACCCAUGUACGAAUGAAUGCAGUCAAUUUUGAUAAUGUACUAUCACUUAGGAUCAAACGGGUAAUUUAGAGAGGAACCGAUUAAAUGGAAACCUGCCAAUGGGCCGACAGGUUCAUGUUAUUGGCUAGCUUGCGAAAGCAUGAUAAGUGGAACAGAAUGAGGCCUGGCAACAUAGUGACAGUCCCAUAGAAAGACAAUUGACCACCCCAUAAGUGCAGCAGUAGCAGUGUUAGCUGGCCUCACGAAAGGUGAGGAUUGCGAACUAUCAAGGGUAUACAAUGAGGCGAUGAAGAGAAAAAAACAAGGGCUAGUAAGGGAAGAAGGAGAUGGGUUCUCAGAGGUGCUCCUUGAGUUCAUUUGCUUUUGGUUUAAUAUGGUAUCGAUAGCAAUAGCUGUUUUUCCAGUUUGUCGGUCCCCGAUUAUAAGUUCUCGUUGACCACGGCCUAUAGGAACCAGGCUAGUAGCUGAUAGAGUAGAAGGUGGGAUUCUAUAUUCUAUAGCCUAUGCGCCUGCUUAUGAUGAGAUAGAAGUAGGCUCCCGGUGCGUCUUCCUUCGGUCGGCUUGUCAUCGAAGGAUGUUAGCCAAAUCAGAAGGGUCAUGUUUUUUCUCUGACUACUUGCUUUUUUAGCCGAUACAAGUUCAUGGAAAAAAUGGUAUAUCCGAUUGCAUGCGAUGUUUGAUAUUUUCAAAGGAGGUCAGAGAAGGAGAGGCUUAACAUUGGUAGCAAUACCGGUGGGGAGUAAUUGAGAGUCUUCUCCCCAUAGUAAUUGAGAGUCUUGUACCAAUAGUUGGAAUGUCGUUCGAUCCAAUGAUCAAUCCUUCCUCCUAUUUAUAGAGCUAGACGUUGAACCGUAUCUCCGAAAUAUCCGGGAUCUUCCUUGAAUAACUCUUCCUUGCUGAUUUGACUUGACAUGACCGUUGAGAACUAUUCUUCAAGUAAUUCUGUUGUCAAUCCCGAUUCUUGCGGAUGAAGUGGUAGACUAGCCGUUAUAACACGUUCUUAAUAUAAAACUUGUUUUUGACCUAAUUCCUGCAAAUAAGAUCUAAUAUACUGGACGUAUAUUCGUUAGUU